GGAAUCCCAUCUGUCGCCCCCCACCCCGAGACGCUGGCCUCGCCUUCCAUUUGCCUGGACACCCUCCUCCACAUCCAGAUGCUGACUGGUCUCAUUCGGAAAAGAAAGGGAAGACCAGAACAUUAAAAAUAUGAACAAAAAUCCCAGGAGGAAUCUCAGCAGUCAAGUGUUAGGGAAACUCUGAACUUGAAGAAGGUAGUCAACAUAAAGAAUGUGGAAGUAGAAAUCUUCAGCUGGACUCCAGAUCCUAUUGUGAACAAAAAAAUUCUUCCUUGAAUAAAACCAAGUGAAAGCUAUGCAUGUGGAGAUCCUUCUUGAUCAUUCAUCUCUAAAUGUGCCCUCAAGUGCUCAUACCAGACAGGAACCACAUAUCAGGAAUAUGGAAAGAGUUCACAUACAUGCCUAAAUGUGAGGAAAACCUUCAUUUAUUCUCAAUGCAGCAUCAAAAGACUCACACUGAAAAGAGGCACCAGGAACAUGAGCAGGGUGGGAAAAACUUAACUUGUCCCAGUUCUAUUCAGAUACACAAAGGAGUUCUCACUGGAGUCAGAUCCUUCGUGUGUAUGCAGUGCGGAAUAGGCAUUAGCUAUUCUCAUCACAUUAAAAUACAUGAAUAGACUUGAGAGAAAACCUGUGUAAAUUGUACACCUCGUGGGAAGCCCACUGUAAUUCCACUUCCUUCAGAAGACUUGGAAGAAUUCACAGUGAAAUGAAACCCUGUAAGCUGUGUGGGAAAGCCUUCAGUUAUUCCAAUUACCUAAAAAAAUAUGGAAGAAGCUCACCCUGCAAAGAAACCGUGUGUCUGCAAGCCAUGUGGGAAAGCCUUCAUUUCCCCUCUUCCCUCUGAAAACAUGAAAGAACUCACUAUGGAGACAGACCCUCCAAAUGUAAGCAAUGUGAAAAAGGCUUAAGUUGCUCUUGUAACAUUAGUGAGCUGUGUGGGAAAGCCUUCCUUCAGUUCACUUCCUUUCACAGACAUAAAAGAACUCACACUGCAGAGUAACCCUGAAUAAAGACUGUGGAACAACUUCCUUAUCACAUGACCUUCUAGGCAAACAUGCAAAUACACAGUGGCAAGAACUUGAAUCAGGAUAAAACAGAUGGGAAUGCCUGUAGUCAUCUUGGCUCAGCAUAUGCAUUUAAAAUAAUUCUUUAUGGAGAGAAACCCAGAAUAGAUGUGCAGAAGUCUUCAGCUGGCCCACAUGUAAAAAUGCACAUUGGUUGAGAAUCACAUAUGAAAAACACAAGAAAGUUGCCAUUUGUAACAAACAGUUUAAAAGUCUGAAAAUUCCUCAAGUAGUGGAAUCCUAUAAAUGUAAUUAAUUUUAAGUAAGACCUUGAACUGAAAUGAUCUGAGAAUGCUUGAAAAAAAUGUACUACCUAAAAGAAAUGUAUUAAAAAGUAUAAAUAUAUUGUAUUCAUCUGUGGCUUAUGCUUAAAGGAG